AUCAAGGGAGAGGUGCAGAAAAAUGAGCUUUGUGGCCUGUUGUCUGCUGUUUUCUGUAAGAAUAGGCAAUGGCCAUGGCAGGUGAGAGAGUUAUCUAGCAAAACCUUCUUAGUUAGGUUCCCUCCAUGGAAAAGUGCUGAGGACUUGAUUGAAUUUCCAGCCUUUGAUCUCCCUAAAGAUGGUGUGAAUGUAAAUGUGACUGAAUGGAAAGGGGCUUGUGAUCCUUUUGGAGAACUAGUUGAAGCUUGGGUCCUGAUUGAGGGUAUACCACCUAAAUGGUGUACUUGAAAGGUCUUUUGUCAGAUAGCGUCAAUGUUUGGGGUUCUCACUGAUGUAGACUGGAAAGGCAUGUUCAGGACUUUUUUUGAGAAUGUAAGAGUUAAAAUUGCUUGUAGGGAUCCAACCAAAAUUCCUUUUGAAAGGUUGAUAGAAAUGAAGAAGAAGUUGUUUCUUAUUGGAUUUACUGUGGAAGGGUUUGAACAAACUGGUGGCCUGGAUGUUGUGGUUAAUGAAGAAGAGGAUGAUGAUGAAGAGCUUGAGGAAGAUAAUGAGAAUAACCAUGAGGGCAAGGAUGAUGGUACUCAGGAUGACAUUUUAUCCAAUGAUGAGAAUGCUAUAGAUGAUCUAGAUAAGGCCAUUAGGCUCUAA
rnacentral:rRNA from 1 species